rnacentral:rRNA from 1 species
UACGUAGGUGGCGAGCGUUGUCCGGAUUUACUGGGCGUAAAGAGCGCGCAGGCGGUCGUUCAAGUCGCGUGUGAAAGCCCCCGGCUCAACUGGGGAGGGUCACGCGAUACUGAUCGACUCGAAGGCAGGAGAGGGAAGUGGAAUUCCCGGUGUAGUGGUGAAAUGCGUAGAUAUCGGGAGGAACAUCAGUGGCGAAGGCGACUUCCUGGCCUGUUCUUGACGCUGAGGCGCGAAAGCUAGGGGAGCAAACGGG